GGUUAAGCGACUAAGCGUACACGGUGGAUGCCCUGGCAGUCAGAGGCGAUGAAGGGCGUGCUAAUCUGCGAUAAGCGCCGGUAAGGUGAUAUGAACCGUUAUAACCGGCGAUACCCGAAUGGGGAAACCCAGUGUGACUCGUCACACUAUCAUUAACUGAAUCCAUAGGUUAAUGAGGCGAACCGGGGGAAC
rnacentral:rRNA from 1 species